UACGUAGGGGGCAAGCGUUGUUCGGAAUCAUUGGGCGUAAAGAGCGUGUAGGCGGCCCGGUAAGUCCGCUGUGAAAGUCCAGGGCUCAACCCCGGGUCGGCCGUGGCAACUGUCGAGCUGGAGCACUGUAGAGGCAGGUGGAAUUCCGGGUGUAGCGGUGGAAUGCGUAGAGAUCCGGAAGAACACCGGUGGCGAAGGUGGCCUGCUGGGCAGUGGCUGACGCUGAGGCGCGACAGCGUGGGGAGCAAACAGG
rnacentral:rRNA from 1 species